CGACUGGCGGCGUGCUUAACACAUGCAAGUCGAACGAGAACGGAUUAUAGCUUGCUAUAAUUGUCAGCUAAGUGGCGCACCGGGUGAGUAAUAUAUAGGUAACGUGCCCCAAAGAAGAGGAUAACAGAUGGAAACGUCUGCUAAGACUCUAUAUGCCUUUAUGACAAAAGUCAGCAAGGGAAAUAUUUAUAGCUUUGGGAUCGGCCUGUACAGUAUCAGUUAGUUGGUGAGGUAAUGGCUCACCAAGACAAUGACGCUUAACUGGUUUGAGAGGAUGAUCAGUCACACUGGAACUGAGACACGGUCCAGACUCCUACGGGAGGCAGCAGGUGGGAAUAUUGCACAAUGGACGAAAGUCUGAUGCAGCAACGCCGCGUGGAGGAUGACACAUUUCGGUGCGUAAACUCCUUUAUAUAGGAAGAUAAUGACGGUACUAUAUGAAUAAGCACCGGCUAACUCCGUG
rnacentral:rRNA from 1 species